rnacentral:rRNA from 1 species
GGGGGGAGCAGCAGUGGGGAAUAUUGCACAAUGGGGGAGACCUGAUGCAGCCAUGCCGCGUGUGUGAAGAAGGCCUUCGGGUUGUAAAGCACUUUCAGCAGUGAGGAAGGUCGUGUACUUAAUACGUGCACGGCUUGACGUUAGCUGCAGAAGAAGCACCGGCUAACUCCGUGCCAGCAGCCGCGGUAAUACGGAGGGUGCGAGCGUUAAUCGGAAUUACUGGGCGUAAAGCGCAUGCAGGCGGUUUGUUAAGUCAGAUGUGAAAGCCCGGGGCUCAACCUCGGAACCGCAUUUGAAACUGGCAGGCUAGAGUCUUGUAGAGGGGGGUAGAAUUUCAGGUGUAGCGGUGAAAUGCGUAGAGAUCUGAAGGAAUACCAGUGGCGAAGGCGGCCCCCUGGACAAAGACUGACGCUCAGAUGCGAAAGCGUGGGUAGCAAACAGGAUUAGAUACCCUGGUAGUCCACGCCGUAAACGCUGUCUACUUGGAGGUUGAGGUUUUAGACUUUGGCUUUCGGCGCUAACGCAUUAAGUAGACCGCCUGGGGAGUACGGCCGCAAGGUUAAAACUCAAAUGAAUUGACGGGGGCCCGCACAAGCGGUGGAGCAUGUGGUUUAAUUCGAUGCAACGCGAAGAACCUUACCUACUCUUGACAUCCAGCGAAGCCUUUAGAGAUAGAGGCGUGCCUUCGGGAGCGCUGAGACAGGUGCUGCAUGGCUGUCGUCAGCUCGUGUUGUGAAAUGUUGGGUUAAGUCCCGCAACGAGCGCAACCCUUAUCCUUGUUUGCCAGCACGUAAUGGUGGGAACUCCAGGGAGACUGCCGGUGAUAAACCGGAGGAAGGUGGGGACGACGUCAAGUCAUCAUGGCCCUUACGAGUAGGGCUACACACGUGCUACAAUGGCAGAUACAGAGGGCAGCGAGACAGCGAUGUUUAGCGAAUCCCUUAAAGUUUGUCGUAGUCCGGAUUGGAGUCUGCAACUCGACUCCAUGAAGUCGGAAUCGCUAGUAAUCGUGGAUCAGAAUGCCACGGUGAAUACGUUCCCGGGCCUUGAACCACCCCGCCCGUCAA